rnacentral:rRNA from 1 species
AGCGAACGCUGGCGGCAGGCCUAACACAUGCAAGUCGAACGAACUCUUCGGAGUUAGUGGCGGACGGGGGGGUAACACGUGGGAACGUGCCUUUUGGUUCGGUAUAACUCAGGGAAACUUGUGCUAAUACCGAAUGUGCCCUUCGGGGGUAAGAUUUAUCGCCAUGAGAGCGGCCCGCGUCUGAUUAGCUAGUUGGUGAGGUAACGGCUCACCAAGGCGACGAUCAGUAGCUGGUCUGAGAGGAUGACCAGCCACACUGGGACUGAGACACGUCCGAGACUCCUACGGGAGGCAGCAGUGGGGAAUCUUGCGCAAUGGGCGAGAGCCUGACGCAGCCAGGCCGCGUGAAUGAUGAAGGUCUUAGGAUUGUAAAAUUCUUUCACCGGGGACGAUAAUGACGGUACCCGGAGAAGAAGCCCCGGCUAACUUCGUG